AUUGAACGCUGGCGGCAUGCUUUACACAUGCAAGUCGGACGGCAGCACAGAGAAGCUUGCUUCUUGGGUGGCGAGUGGCGAACGGGUGAGUAAUAUAUCGGAACUUACCGAGUAAAGGGGGAGAACUAAUCGAAAGAUUAGCUAAUACCGCAUAUUCUCUGAGGAGGAAAGCAGGGGACCUGCGGGCCUUGCGUGAUGCGAGCGGCGGAUAUCUGAGUAGCUAGUUGGUGGGGUAAAGGCCUACCAAGGCGACGAUCAGUAGCGGGUCUGAGAGGAUGAUCCGCUACCCUGGCACUGAGACUCGGCCCCCACUCCGGCGGUAGGCAGCAGUCGGGAAUUUUGCGCGAUGGGCGCGAGCCUGAUCCAGCCCUGCCGCGUGUCUGAAGAUGGCGUUCGGGUUGUAAAGGACUUUUGUCAGGGAAGUUAAGGCUGUUGCUAAUAUCGACAGCUGAUGACGGUACCUGAAGAAUAAGCACCGGCUAUCUCCGUG
rnacentral:rRNA from 1 species